UUUCCGUAGAUAGAAACACCAGGAUUCGAACCAGGCUUUGUUCCUCCUCGAGGUUCACAUGGUUAAUAAUGCUCUAUACCAAUUUCUUCCAAAGGUUCUAGAAAGCAAAGGACGCUCCUUGAUCCUAGUUUACAAGGCCAGCGUGAGGGGAGGGGCGCGGGGAGAGGAGGAGCAGAGGAGACGGAAAAGAGCAGAGCAGAGGGGAGGAGCUUUGGCGCGUCUUCCCUGUCAUCACGCUGAAGCAUCGUUGAGGCAGAAACGCGUGCUCAUCACAGCAGCCAACCCUCUGCCCAGGCCCCCGAGUCCAAGCUCUGGUCUAAGCUGCAUUAAUUGUCCCGGCUCCACGGUGAUGCCUGUUUUGUUUCUCUUUCUCUUUCUUUUGAGACUACGGCUUCUAUCCUGCAUGAAAACCUCUUGCCGAGGGACCUGCCUGUUGAACCAGCCCACAGGUCAGGGAAAAGCACUGGUUCUCUGAGCUCCCUGAAGAGUCCUUUCUCCUCUCCACUCCCAGCUCCAGAUCCGACUGACCCAAAGAGGCAGCCCCCUCUCUCAGGAGCAACCCUCAGACCCCAGGACUCUCGGAAACACAGAUUGAAAAGCUUUGCUCUGGCUGGAGAGAAACCACUCUGAAGAUGGGAAGACUGAGGACCAGAGAGGGGAAGUGACAUCCCUGGAGUCACCCAGGAAAUCAGCAGGGACUCAGAGUUGGAGGCCAGACCUCCUCCCUCACAGUCCAAUACACGUUCCCGCCUCACCACCUUAUAUGUCAAAUUUUGCAUGAUUCCCUUGGAGACCCCUGAAUAAAACGUACCGUCAUAUCCAAAGGAGGGGCCCCAUCUCAAGCUCAUUUCGCAUUCCGCGUCCGUGGGAGCUCAUUAGAAUUCUGAUUAUAAUGCUGGAAUCAUUUUUAUUUCCAAGCUUCAGUCAUUUCGUAUCAGGUGGGCAUUAGUCAACAGAGACCUAAAAGAAGUUGUAAGCAAAUCAUCACAGAAAGGAAACUUCUCCCCUACAUACACACACACACACACACACACACACACACACGCACACACACACACAUGCACAAGCACACACAUCUUUCUUUCAUUAGCUUUAAUUAAGUUGACCCAGAUUGAUCUGGAAAAUUUUCCAGACCCAGAAUGAGUUUCUCCUUUAUGAUUGUGAAAAUCAUGAGGUUUUCAGAGAAUGGGACCCUAGAGACAAAUCAAAUGAGAGGUAGCUUCUGGGUAGACAAAGACCUUGAUAAAAUGAGAGACAACAGCCAAGGCCAGUACUGUCACAUCACAGAAGCAUGCCAUUUGGAUCCCCUUUCUGUGCCUCCUUAGCUGUGUUACCUUGGGUGACUUACUCGCCUUCUCUGAGCCUCUACUUCCAAUCUUGCAUACGUGCCCCUCUCACAGUUCCUUCUCUGCUAAGUAGCCAGGAGAUUUUUCCAAAACGUAAGUCAAUCCAGGCAACUGUCUGAUUAAAAGCCUUCAAUAUCUUCCCAUUUAACUUAGAAUAAAACCCACACUCCACAAUGUGUCCAACGAGGACGUCCACAAACUGACUUUUGCCUUAUAUAGGUUGUAGGUUAGGGUCGUGCUUGGCUAUGUGUAACAGAAACUUAAGCAUAUUUGUGUAACCAAACAGGGGGAUAUUAUUCUCACAUGACAAGAAGUCCAGGAGUGGUCCAGAGAAGCUCAAAAUGCCCUUGGAGACCCAGGCUCCUUCUAGCUUCCUGCUCAGCCAUCCUCAGAAAAUAGGAAGCCUCAUGGUCACAAAACGGCUGCCCUACCUCUCGGCUUUGUGUCCAAGUUCCAGGCAAGAAGAAGGGGAAAAAGCAAGGAAGAAAAAGCACAUGCUAGUUGGGUCUGUCCCUUUUUACUCAAGAAAGUGAUAACUUUUCUUUAGAUUGCCAUUUACAAGUCAUUGGCUAGAACGAGGUCGUAUCACCAAUGGUAGUUUCAAGGGAUUCUGGGAGCCAAGUCCUCUUCCAUCGGCACUUCUCCUCCUCAACAAAAUCAGGCUUUAUUGAUUAGGAAGAAAGGGGGUUAAUAUUGGGCAGGCAACCAGCAGCACCUGCCACACAGCUUCCAUUCUCACUCACAACAUGCCCAUGGUGGGCAGAAUUCUAAGAUGGACCUAAGAUCUCUGCCCCUUGAGGCUCGCAGCCUGUAUAAUCUCCUCCCUUUGAGGGUGGGUGGGACUUGUGCCAGCCAGUGGAAUACAGAACAGCGAAGAGAUUUCACUGAUAUAAUUAAGGUCCCAAAUCAGUUGGUUUUGAGUUCAUCAAAAGGAAGAUUGUCCUGGUGGGCCUGACUUAAUCAGCUUGUCAGCUCCAAGAGAAGAGAGAAUUUGCUCUACUCCUCAUGGCCCCCUCUCCACGCAGAACAGCGCCAGGCUCACGGUGAGCCCAGAAAAAGUGACCUCUCCGCAUACCCGGCCUCUGGGGCUGCUUGAAAACCAGUUUCCGCAACCCACGUGAGCACAACACACUCAUGAACGUUCCAUGAAAGGAGCCGAGGGCGCUCCCGGCCCUGGGCUCUCCCACGGCCACCCCAUCUCCCGCACGCCCAGCCGCGUGGUCCUCUGGAGGCAUGGCCACUUCGCAUUUCCCUCCCUCGCACUCGCCUUCCGAUAGUCAGUGUUGACUGUAGGAUCCUGGCUCUCCAGAACUAGCAGGCGUUUUCCGGCUAAUGUCCAGCAUAAACAGAAGAUACGGUAGAAACACAAAUUCAGCAUCCAUGGUCCUAGAUGGCCAGCUUCUCGCUGUGUCCUCACAUGGCAGAGGGGGCGAGGGGGCUCAGUGGGGUCUCUUUUAUAAGGACACUGAUCCCACUCACGAGGACUCCACCAUCAUGACCUCAUCGUCUCCCAAAGGCCCCACCUCCUGCUACCAUCCCAUUGGGGGUUAGGUUCCAAAAUGAGAAUUAUGGGGGGGACACCAACAUUCAGUCUAUGGCAGCAUAUUUAACAGAACUACAUCUCAAAAACCAGGGCAAGAUAAGGGCCUUUUCAGAAGAACAAAAACGAGAAGCUUUAAGCACCAGUAGAACUUCUAAAGGGUCUAGUUCAGGAAGAAUGAAAAUGAUCCCAGGUAGGAAGGUCCGAGAUGCAGGAAGGAAGGGCAAGGAGGGGCCAACAGGUGAGCAUGUCGAUAAAUCUAGACCAUCCUUGUAUUCAUAGACUGAAAAAACGCAUGUAAUCAGUAGGUUUAAUGAAGAGACAGAGCUAAAAUCCUAGGCAACAAGAGCAUGUCAGUUAGCAGGGAGCUGCCUGGCGUUAAAAUAGUUGACGGUCUUCGUAUGUUCCGGCAGGGCAGGGAGCUGGCGAAGUCACGCUAUUCACAUAAAGAUUAUGAAGUUUCAUGGGCCCUGUAAAAUUUCAAAGAUAACCAUUUAAAGAGUAAAAACGGGCUGUAGCUUUCAUCCCACAGGAGAGCAAAAAGUA
rnacentral:lncRNA from 1 species